rnacentral:misc_RNA from 1 species
AAGAAAAGAAAUUGGUUUUUUUUUCUUCUUCAUUUCCGUCAACCUUCAUCUCCUCUCUCAUCUCUCUCUUUUUCUUAACUCUCCAUCUCCACAAACUCCAUUAAAGCUCAAUUUUGAGCUUGUAUAUCAUAAAAUUUCACCAUAAAAAAAUUAGCCACCAUAGUUAAAGCUUAUCUAGGCAACUUGAGAAGAGGAUUGAGCAAGAAAGAAAGAAGGAAAAUUUGAAGGAAAGGAGGAAGAAAAUUGCUACACAAAGAUACAGAGCAUAGAGGAGCAGCAGACUAAGCUGCUGAGGUGUGAGGAACCAUCGGCUUGAAGUCUUCGGGUAUAAUUU